UCAGGUAGAUAGGAUGGAAGUGGAAGUGCGGUGACGUAUGAAGCGGACCAUUACUAAUCGGUCGAGGACUUAACCAAG
rnacentral:rRNA from 1 species